rnacentral:misc_RNA from 1 species
GAUGAAGAACGUAGCGAAAUGCGAUAAGUAAUGUGAAUUGCAGAAUUCAGUGAAUCAUCGAAUCUUUGAACGCACAUUGCGCCCGCCAGUAUUCUGGCGGGCACGCCUGUUCGAGCGUCAUUACAACCCUCAGGCCCCCGGGCCUGGCGUUGGGGAUCGGCGGAGCCCCCCGUGGGCACACGCCGUCCCCCAAAUGCAGUGGCGGUCCCGCCGCAGCUUCCAUCGCGUAGUAGCUAACACCUCGCGACUGGAGAGCGGCGCGGCCACGCCGUAAAACACCCAACUCUUCUGAAGUUGACCUCGAAUCAGGUAGGAAUACCCGCUGAACUUAAGCAUAUCAAUAAGCGGAGGA